rnacentral:tRNA from 2 species
GGAAGCGUAUCGUCACCGGUGUGGCGCCUAGACUUCAAAUCUAGUGGAACGUCGAGAGGCGUUCGGUAGGUUCGACCCCUAUACGCUUCCGCCA